rnacentral:rRNA from 1 species
GAUGAACGCUGGCGGCGUGCUUAACACAUGCAAGUCGAACGGAAAGGCCCUGCUUUUGUGGGGUGCUCGAGUGGCGAACGGGUGAGUAACACGUGAGUAACCUGCCCUUGACUUUGGGAUAACUUCACGAAACUGGGGCUAAUACCGUAUAGCAGCCCCUGCUGCAUGGUGGGGGUGGGAAAGUUUCGGCGGUUGGGGAUGGACUCGCGGCUUAACAGUUUGUUGGUGGGGUAGUGGCUUACCAAGGCUUUGACGGGUAGCCGGCCUGAGAAGGUGACCGGCCACAUGAGGACUGAGGUACGGCCCAGACUGGUACGGGGGGCAGAGGUGGGAAAUAUUGAACAAUGGGCGGAAGCCUGAUGCAACGACGCCGCGUGCGGGAUGACGGCCUUCGGGUUGUAAACCGCUUUCGCCUGUGACGAAGCGUGAGUGACGGUAAUCGGUAAAGAAGCACCGGCUAACUACGUG